rfam:Myotis brandtii contig171030, whole genome shotgun sequence.
UGUAGUUCUUGGGUGACACACCCCAGAAUCGGGCUCCCCAUUCUCUGAUUCCGUGUGCUUCACCUUAGAACCGCA